rnacentral:rRNA from 3 species
GAUUCGUCACACUAUCAUUAACUGAAUCCAUAGGUUAAUGAGGCGAACCGGGGGAACUGAAACAUCUAAGUACCCCGAGGAAAAGAAAUCAACCGAGAUUCCCCCAGUAGCGGCGAGCGAACGGGGAGGAGCCCAGAGCCUGAAUCAGCAUGUGUGUUAGUGGAAGCGUCUGGAAAGGCGCGCGAUACAGGGUGACAGCCCCGUACACAAAAGCGCAUGUGCUGUGAGCUCGAUGAGUAGGGCGGGACACGUGGUAUCCUGUCUGAAUAUGGGGGGACCAUCCUCCAAGGCUAAAUACUCCUGACUGACCGAUAGUGAACCAGUACCGUGAGGGAAAGGCGAAAAGAACCCCGGCGAGGGGAGUGAAAAAGAACCUGAAACCGUGUACGUACAAGCAGUGGGAGCACCCUUCGGGGUGUGACUGCGUACCUUUUGUAUAAUGGGUCAGCGACUUAUAUUCUGUAGCAAGGUUAACCGUAUAGGGGAGCCGGAGGGAAACCGAGUCUUAAUUGGGCGUUAAGUUGCAGGGUAUAGACCCGAAACCCGGUGAUCUAGCCAUGGGCAGGUUGAAGGUUGGGUAACACUAACUGGAGGACCGAACCGACUAAUGUUGAAAAAUUAGCGGAUGACCUGUGGCUGGGGGUGAAAGGCCAAUCAAACCGGGAGAUAGCUGGUUCUCCCCGAAAGCUAUUUAGGUAGCGCCUCGUGAAUUCAUCUCCGGGGGUAGAGCACUGUUUCGGCUAGGGGGCCAUCCCGGCUUACCAACCCGAUGCAAACUGCGAAUACCGGAGAAUGUUAUCACGGGAGACACACGGCGGGUGCUAACGUCCGUCGUGAAGAGGGAAACAACCCAGACCGCCAGCUAAGGUCCCAAAGUCAUGGUUAAGUGGGAAACGAUGUGGGAAGGCCCAGACAGCCAGGAUGUUGGCUUAGAAGCAGCCAUCAUUUAAAGAAAGCGUAAUAGCUCACUGGUCGAGUCGGCCUGCGCGGAAGAUGUAACGGGGCUAAACCAUGCACCGAAGCUGCGGCAGCGAACGUAUCACCCAAGACAACUUUACGGAGUUGACGAUUGACGGAGCGAAGCGACGUCAAAGCGUUCAUUAAAGUCGAGUUGGCUUAGGGAUACGUUCGUUGGGUAGGGGAGCGUUCUGUAAGCCUGUGAAGGUGUGUCGUGAGGCAUGCUGGAGGUAUCAGAAGUGCGAAUGCUGACAUAAGUAACGAUAAAGCGGGUGAAAAGCCCGCUCGCCGGAAGACCAAGGGUUCCUGUCCAACGUUAAUCGGGGCAGGGUGAGUCGACCCCUAAGGCGAGGCCGAAAGGCGUAGUCGAUGGGAAACGGGUUAAUAUUCCCGUACUUGGUGUUACUGCGAAGGGGGGACGGAGAAGGCUAUGUUGGCCGGGCGACGGUUGUCCCGGUUUAAGCGUGUAGGUGUGUGUUCCAGGUAAAUCCGGUUCACUUUAACACUGAGGCGUGACGACGAGGCACUACGGUGCUGAAGCAACAAAUGCCCUGCUUCCAGGAAAAGCCUCUAAGCAUCAGGUAACACGAAAUCGUACCCCAAACCGACACAGGUGGUCAGGUAGAGAAUACCAAGGCGCUUGAGAGAACUCGGGUGAAGGAACUAGGCAAAAUGGUGCCGUAACUUCGGGAGAAGGCACGCUGACACGUAGGUGAAGUGAUUUACUCAUGGAGCUGAAGUCAGUCGAAGAUACCAGCUGGCUGCAACUGUUUAUUAAAAACACAGCACUGUGCAAACACGAAAGUGGACGUAUACGGUGUGACGCCUGCCCGGUGCCGGAA